rnacentral:rRNA from 1 species
AACCUCAAAUCAGGAAAGAGGACCCGCUGAAUUUAAGCAUAUAACUAAGCGGAGGAAAAGAAACUAACAAGGAUUCCCUCAGUAACGGCGAGUGAAGCGGGAAAAGCCCAUGAUGAAAAUCUUUCUUUGUUUGGGAGAGAGAAUUGUAGUCUAUCGAAGCAUGUACCAGUUGUGGGCCCAGGCUCGAGUCCCUUGGAAGAGGGCAUCCAGAGAGGGUGAGAGUCCCAUGUCUGGCUUGGUCGGCCACAGCGCACGGUCUGUUUUCCAUGAGUCGAGUUGCUUGGGACUGCAGCUCAAAGUUGGAGGUAAAUUCCUUCAAAGGCUAAACACUGGCGAGAGACCGAUAGCGAACAAGUAGCGCGAGCGAAAGAUGAAAAGAACUUUGAAAAGAGAGUUAAAAAGUACCUGAAAUCGUUGAAAGGGAAGGGUUUGCAACCAGUGUGAAUGAAGGGCGUGUGUUUGUCGCUUGCUAUGAGUAGGCGGUUUGCAGGCGCUCGGAUUGGGUCUGCAUGGGUUUGGUUGGUUGUUACAAGGUUUGUGCCGAGGAGCAAUCAAGGCACGGACUGAAGCGCUGGCCAGACCGAGGAGCAUUUUUUUUGAUGGAAAGGCGAUGCAGACAAAAUGGUUGUAAACCGCCCGUCUUGAAACACGGACCAAGGAGUUUCACAUGUGUGCGAGUAUUAGAGUGUUGAAAACUCUGAUGCGCAAUGAAAGUGAGGAGGUGGGAAUCUUUUUCCUUGGGAAAAGAGGCACCAUCGGCCGAUCAUGAUCUGCGGUGAAAGAUUUGAGUUGGAGCACUUAUGUGGAGACCCGAAAGAUGGUGAUCUAUGCUUGCGUAGAAUGAAGGCAGGGGAAACCCUGGUGGAAGUUCGCAAACGGUUCUGACGUGCAAAUCGAUCGUGAGACGUGGGUAUAGGGGCGAAAGACUCAUCGAACCAUCUAGUAGCUGGUUCCCUCCGAAAUUUCCCUUAGGAUAGCUAUAACUUGUACAGUUUCAUCAGGUAAAGCUAAUGAUUAGAGGCAUUGGGGACGAAAGGUCCUCGACCUAUUCUCAAACUUUAAAUGGGUGAGAACAUGUGGUUGCUUGAUUGAACUACGUGAUUGAAUGGAAAGUUGUUAGUGGGCCUCUUCUGGUAAGCAGAACUGGCGAUGCGGGAUGAUCCGAACGCGUGGUUAAAGUGCCAGAGUGUUCGCUCAUGAAGAUCCCACAAAAGGUGUUGGUUCAUUUAGACAGCAGGACGGUGGCCAUGGAAGUCGGAACCCGCUAAGGAGUGUGUAACAACUCACCUGCCGAAUGAACUAGCCCUGAAAAUGGAUGGCGCUUGAGCGAAUGACUUAUACCACGCCAUUGGUGCUAUUUUUCAAAAGAGUAAGUGCCAAUGAGUAGGAGGGCGUGCAAGUGAUGACGCAGCCUUUGGCGUGAGCCUGGGUGAAAUGGCUUGUAGUGCAGAUCUUGGUGGAAGUAGCAAGUAUUCAAAAGAGAACUUUGAAGACUGAAGUGGAGAAAGGUUCCAUGUGAACAGCAAUUGGACAUGGGUGAGUCGGUCCUAAGAGAUAGCUUGACUGUGUUCAGAAGGGGGUCGUUGUCUUUGCUUACUUGGUGAAGGUUAAUGGCUCGUUGAUCGAAAGGGAAUCAGGUUAAUAUUCCUGAACAAGGGAAGUGGAUGCAUGAUGUGGCAACACUUGGUCAGUUUGGGGACAUUAGCAGGAACCCCGGGAAGAGUUCUCUUUUCUUUUAAACUCUUUAGUGGUAUUGCCUGGAAUCAAAUUGGUUGGCGAGAGGGAAUACUUGCGAGUAAGAGCACUUUGGUUGGUUGAAGUGUCCGGUGCGUUUUUGAUGAUCCUUGAAAAUCCGAAUUGAUGAGUAAGGUAUAAACACCCCUUGCCGUACUGAUAACCGCAACAGGUCUCCAAGGUGAGAAGCCUCUAGUUGAUAGAACAAUGUAGAUAAGGGAAGUCGGCAAACUAGAUCCGUAACUUCGGGAAAAGGAUUGGCUCUGAGGGUUGGGUUGUCGAUAGGUGGUUUGUUUGUGGUUGGGGUGUUGGAGUUGGGGUUUGAUUUUCGCUGGUUCCGACUGGCUUAGAUCGGGCCUUGAUUCUGAUCGCCAUCCGGAUGAGCGACCUGACAGCGUGGAACAACCGACUCAGAACUGGAGCGGACAAGGGGAAUCCGACUGUUUAAUUAAAACAAAGCAUUGCGAUGCUCUUAACAGACGUUGACGCAAUGUGAUUUCUGCCCAGUGCUCUGAAUGUCAAAGUGAAGAAAUUCAAUCAAGCGCGGGUAAACGGCGGGAGUA